AUAGGGUCUGGGGUCCCCAAUGGGGUCUGGGGUCCACAAUGGGGUCUGGGGUCCCGGGUUCUCAAUAUAGGGUCUGGGGUCCACAAUUGGGUCUGGGGUCCACAAUGGGGUCAGGGGUCCCCAAUUGGCUCUGGGCUCCGGGGUUGGCUCUGUAGGGUCUGGGGUCCCCACUUGGGUCUGGGGUCCCCAAUGGCGUCUGGGGUCCGCAAUGGGGUCUGGGAUGCGCAAUGGGGUCUGGGGUCCGCAAUGGGGUCCGGGAUCUGGGGUUGGCUAUAUAGGGUCUGGGGUCCCCAAUUGGGUCUGGAGUCCGGGGUUCCCUAUAUAGGGUCUGGGGUCCCCAGUUGGGUCUGGGCUCCGGGGUUUGCUCUAUAGGGUCUGGGGUUCCCACUUGGGUCUGGGGUCCUGAGUUCUCUAUAUAGGGUCUGGGGUCCCCUAUUGGGUCUGGGGUCCUGGGUUCUCUUAUAGGGUCUGGGGUUCCCAAUUGGGUCUGGGGUCACCUAUGGGGGCGGUGAUCCCGAAUUGGGUCUGGGGUCCCGGGUUCUCUAUAUAGGGUCGGGGGUCCCCAAUUCAGUCUGGGGUCCCCAAUGGGGUCGGUGGUCCCGAAUUGGGUCUGGGGUCCUGGGUUCUCUUAUAGGGUGUGGGGUUCCCAAUUGGGUCUGGGGUCCCCAAUGGGGUCGGUGGUCCCGAAUUGAGUCUGGGGUCCCCUAUGGGGGCGGUGAUCCCGAAUUGGGUCUGGGGUCCCGGGUUCUCUAUAUAGGGUGGGGGGUCCCAAAUUGGGUCUGGGGUCCUGAGUUCUCUUAUAGGGUGUGGGGUUCCCAAUUGGGUCUGGGGUCCCCAAUGGGGCGGUGAUCCCAAAUUGGGUCUGGGGUCGCCAUAUAGGGUGGGGGUUCCCAAUUGGGUCUGGGGUCCCGGGUUCUCUAUACAGGGUCGGGGGUCCCCAAUUCAGUCUGGGGUCCCCAAUGGGGUCGGUGGUCCCAAUUGGGUCUGGGGUCCUGGGUUCUCUUAUAGGGUCUGGGGUUCCCAAUUGGGUCUGGGGUCCCCAAUGGGGUCGGUGGUCCCGAAUUGGGUCUGGGGUCGCCAUAUAGGGUGGGGGUCCCCAAUUGGGUCUGGGGUCCCCAAUUGGGUCUGGGCUCCGGGGUUUGCUCUAUAGGGUCUGGGGUCCCCACUUGGGUCUGGGGUCCUGAGUUCUCUAUAUAGGGUCUGGGGUCCCCAAUUGGGUCUGGGGUCCCCAAUGGGGGCGGUGGUCCCGAAUUGGGUCUGGGGUCCCCUAUGGGGGUGGAGGUCUCGAAUUGGGUCUGGGGUCGCCAUAUAGGGUGGGGGAUCCCUAUUGGGUCUGAGGUCACCAUAUAGGGCAGAGGUCCCGAAUUGGGUCUGGGGUCCCCAUUGGGGUCGGUGGUCCCGAAUUGGGUCUGGGGUCCUGGGUUCUCUCUAUAGGGUCUCGGGUUCCCUAUUGGGUCUGGGGUCGCCAUAUAGGGUGGAGGUCCCCAAUGGGGUCGGUGAUCCCGAAUUGGGUCUGGGGUCUCCUGACCGCCCCCCCCCCCCUCCCCGCGCAGGCGCAGCAGUUGAUCCACCCGCGCCUUUACGGGCAGUUCCGGCGGCGCUGCGCCGAGUUGGAGCGGAGGGGGGACGGCGCGUGGACGGAACAGCUGCUGUUCCACGGCACCACCGCCCCCCGCGGGCUCGCGAUCUGCCUGCACGGCUUCCGAGCCCCCCCCGGCUCUCCCGGCGUUCCUUUGGCGGUGUCGGCGGCUGUGGCGCUCCGACGGUUCCAUUCGCCGCCCUCUCCCGACGGCACUCAGUGCGUUUUGGUGGUCCGAGCGCUGUGCGGUCGGGAGAGACCCCCGAACCGCCGCGGGGAACCCCGCAACGCGCGUCGCCGCGCCGUCCGCUUCUGCUGCCCUACGGCCGCAUACCCGCUGUACGUGCUCAGCUGCGUGCGCGUGCCCGAGGAGCGCGACCGGCUGCGUGCGCGUGCCCGCUGACGGACGGGAGGAGCCGCGCGCGGAUGGAAACCGUCGAGAGUGCCAUACUGUGCCAUACGGUGCCAUGGACUCACCAGGAGUGUCACACUGUGCCAUGGACUCACCAGGAGUGCCAUACUGUGCCAUGGAUUCACCAGGAGUGCCAUACUGUGCCAUACUGUGCCAUACUGUGCCAUGGACCCACCAGGAGUGCCAUACUGGGCUAUACUGUGCCAUGGACUCACCGGGAGUGCCAUACUGUGCCAUGGACCCACCAGGAGUGCAUUGCUGUGCCAUACUGUGCCAUGGACCCACCAGGAGUGCCAUACUGUGCCAUGGACUCACCAGGAGUGCCAUACUGUGCCAUGGACACACCAGCAGUGCCAUACUGUGCCAUGGACCCACCAGGAGUGCAUUGCUGUGCCAUACUGUGCCAUGGACCCACCAGGAGUGCCAUACUGUGCCAUGGACUCACCAGCAGUGCCAUACUGUGCCAUGGACCCACCGGGAGUGCAUUGCUGUGCCAUACUGUGCCAUGGACCCACCAGGAGUGCAUUGCUGUGCCAUACUGUGCCAUGGACCCACCAGGAGUGCCAUACUGUGCCAUGGACUCCCCAGGAGUGCCAUACUGUGCCAUACUGUGCCAUGGACCCACCGGGAGUGCAUUGCUGUGCCAUACUGUGCCAUGGACCCACCAGGAGUGCAUUGCUGUGCCAUACUGUGCCAUGGACCCACCAGGAGUGCCAUACUGUGCCAUGGACUCCCCAGGAGUGCCAUACUGUGCCAUACUGUGCCAUGGACUCACCAGGAGUGCCAUACUGUGCCAUACUGUGCCAUGGACCCACCGGGAGUGCAUUGCUGUGCCAUACUGUGCCAUGGACUCACCAGGAGUGCCAUACUGUGCCAUGGACACACCAGGAGUGCCAUACUGUGCCAUGGACUCACCGUGGUGGCGGUGCGGUGCCGCGUGCUGCCCAAGAAGGCCAUGUUUUGCCCCAGG
ensembl:lncRNA